UGGGGGAUUUUGCACAAUGGGCGCAAGCCUGAUGCAGCGACGCCGCGUGAGGGAUGAAGGCCUUCGGGUUGUAAACCUCUUUCGCUGGGUUGAAAGGCCAUGCUUUGGGUGUGGUUGAUUUGAACUGGUAAAGAAGUACCGGCUAACUACGUGCCAGCAGCCGCGGUAAUACGUAGGGUACUAGCGUUGUCCGGAUUUAUUGGGCGUAAAGGGCUUGUAGGUGGUUUGUCGCGUCUGUCGUGAAAUCCUGUGGCUUAACCAUGGGCUUGCGGUGGGUACGUGCAGGCUUGCGUGCGGUAGGGGAGACUGGCAUUCCUGGUGUAGCGGUGGAAUGCGCAGAUAUCAGGAGGAACGCCGGUGGCGAAGGCGGGUCUCUGGGCCGUUACUGACACUGAGGAGCGAAAGCGUGGGGAGCGAACAGG
rnacentral:rRNA from 1 species